CCUACGGGAGGCAGCAGUGAGGAAUAUUGGUCAAUGGACGAGAGUCUGAACCAGCCAAGUAGCGUGAAGGAUGACUGCCCUAUGGGUUGUAAACUUCUUUUAUAAAGGAAUAAAACGAGGCACGUGUGCCUUUUUGCAUGUACUUUAUGAUUAAGGAUCGGCUAACUCCGUGCCAGCAGCCGCGGUAAUACGGAGGAUCCGAGCGUUAUCCGGAUUUAUUGGGUUUAAAGGGAGCGUAGAUGGGUUGUUAAGUCAGUUGUGAAAGUUUGCGGCUCAACCGUAAAAUUGCAAUUGAUACUGGCAGUCUUGAGUACAGUUGAGGUAGGCGGAAUUCGUGGUGUAGCGGUGAAAGGCUUAGAUAUCACGAAGAACCCCGAUUGCGAAGGCAGCUUACUAAACUGUGACUGACAUUGAUGCUCGAAAGUGUGGGUAUCAAACAGGAUUAGAUACCCUUGUAGUC
rnacentral:rRNA from 1 species